UUUUUAUUAUCUUUGCUGUUGUGCCCUCCCUGGAUGGGUGCUGGCACAUGAUGUCUUGCCUGCUGGUCCGUGGUUGCACUCUCACCAUGUGGAUGGAGCUCGGCAGCUGAAAAUGCAUUCUUCCACCAAGAUGAUUUACACAGCCUAGCUGGAUCAGGAGCCCCCUAAUAAGCUGCUUCAGAUUGUAAUAUAGACACAGUAAUGUAUGCCUGCAGGAUGAGUCCCACCUUCUUCAUUAGUCUUGAGGUUUGAGAUUCCCUGUUUGUGUCUGCAGGAUUCAGAUAGUAAUGGAUAUCCUGCAAGUCGGCUUCGUAGAGUCUCCCUUGAAAGUGGACCUCAUGAUCUAGCCUUUAUGUCCGUGGAUUGACACUGUGAUGGAUUCCCCCCAAGUUCAUUUAGAUAUUCUCUCUUAUUCAUAAAUGUCACGGUCAGCUCUGUUCUUAUAGAUACCAGAAUGGAUACCCCAAGAAUGGAUACCCCUAAGCUGAUGUAUAUACACCCUUCCUCGGUUGUGAGAUUCCUGCUCUGGUGGUUGUAGUCAUAAGAUAUACAUCGUUGCGUACACCUUGGUUGUGGGCACGCACACUACUGUUGAAUUACCACCUUGUCCAAGUGGAUGGAUGCCCUCAAUGGGAUUGGCACUUUCUCCAUUGCUCCUGCACUCUGUUAUCAGCACUUCGGGUUCAUAAUGUACACACAGCAAUGGAUUUUCUGCAGCUGAUUUUCUAUAUUCUGUUUUCUUCGGGUAAGCAGAAACAGAUGCCUUCCUCACUGGUCACCAGGUUCAAGGUCCCUCAUAUGUGUCAGGUGCAUAGUCACCAACAAAGGCCAACUUCACAUCAAUGGGUGGAUCGUACCUCGGCCUAAGCUCCAGGAUUGAUUGUGCUGUUAGAGUCACAGCUACAACC
ensembl:processed_transcript Rian RNA imprinted and accumulated in nucleus